rnacentral:pre_miRNA from 1 species
AUCAUACUCCCUCCAUCCAAAAAUACUUGUCAUCAAAAUGAAUAAAAAGGGAUGUAUCUAGAACUAAAAUACAUCUAGAUACAUUCUCUUUUAUUAAUUUGAUGACAAGUAUUUCCGGACAGAGGGAGUACUUC